rnacentral:rRNA from 1 species
UACGAAGGGGGCUAGCGUUGCUCGGAAUCACUGGGCGUAAAGGGUGCGUAGGCGGGUCUUUAAGUCAGGGGUGAAAUCCUGGAGCUCAACUCCAGAACUGCCUUUGAUACUGAAGAUCUUGAGUUCGGGAGAGGUGAGUGGAACUGCGAGUGUAGAGGUGAAAUUCGUAGAUAUUCGCAAGAACACCAGUGGCGAAGGCGGCUCACUGGUCCGGUACUGACGCUGAGGUGCGAAAGCGUGGGGAGCAACAGG